GACGAACGCUGGCGGCGUGCUUAACACAUGCAAGUCGAGCGGUAAGGCCCUUUCGGGGGUACGACGAGCGGCGAACGGGUGAGUAACACGUGGGUGACCUGCCCUCCAGCUCUGGGAUAAAGCCUGGGAAACCGGGGUACUAUACCGGAUAUGACUCCAUGACGCAUGUUGUGGGGUGGAAAGCCUUGUGCGGCUGAGGAUGGGCCCGCGGCCUAUCAGCUUGUUGGUGGGGUGAGGCCUACCAAGGCGACGACGGGUAGCCGGCCUGAGAGGGCGACCGGCCACACUGGGACUGAGACACGGCCCAGACUCCUACGGGAGGCAGCAGUGGGGAAUCUUGCGCAAUGGGCGAAAGCCUGACGCAGCGACGCCGCGUGAGGGAUGACGGCCU
rnacentral:rRNA from 1 species